ACUGCCUGCAAGGUGCUGCAUGGUUGUCGUCAGCUCGUGCCGUGAGGUGUCAGGUUAAGUCCUAUAACGAGCGCAACCCCUACCGUUAGUUGCCAGCAUGUCAUGAUGGGGACUCUAGCGGGACUGCCGGUGCAAACCGUGAGGAAGGUGGGGACGACGUCAAAUCAUCACGGCCCUUACGUCCUGGGCUACACACGUGCUACAAUGGCCGGUACAGAGGGAAGCCACCCCGCAAGGGGGCGCGGAUCUACAAAACCGGUCACAGUUCGGAUCGGGGUCUGCAACUCGACCCCGUGAAGCUGGAAUCGCUAGUAAUCGGAUAUCAGCCAUGAUCCGGUGAAUACGUUCCCGGGCCUUGUACACACCGCCCGUCAAGCCAUGGAAGCCGGGAGUGCCUGAAGUCCGUCACCGUAAGGAGCGGCCUAGGGCAAGAUCGGUAACUAGGGCUAAGUCGUAACAAGGUAGCCGUACCGGAAGGUGCGGCUGGAACACCUCCUU
rnacentral:rRNA from 14 species